GGGGACGUCUAGCGAGACUGCCAGUGAGUAAACUGGAGGAAGGUGGGGAUGACGUCAAAUCAUCAUGCCCCUUAUGACCUGGGCUACAAACGUGAUACAAUGGCUGAAACAAAGGGCAGCGAAGCAGUGAUGUGAAGCGAAACCCAAAAAAGCAGUCUCAGUUCGGAUUGAAGUCUGCAACUCGACUUCAUGAAGUCGGAAUCGCUAGUAAUCGCGAAUCAGAACGUCGCGGUGAAUACGUUCUCGGGGUUU
rnacentral:rRNA from 1 species